rnacentral:rRNA from 1 species
AUUGACAGCUGGCGGCAGGCCCAACACAUGCAAGUCGAACGAGUGGCGGACGGGUGAGUAAUGUCUGGGAAACUGCCCGAUGGAGGGGGGUAACUACUGGAAACGGUAGCUAAUACCGCAUACCAUUGGAUGUGCCCAGAUGGGAUUAGCUAGUAGGUGGGGUAACGGCCCACCUAGGCGACGAUGCCUAGCUGGUCUGAGAGGAGGACCAGCCACAUUGGAACUGGGACACGGUCCAGAGUCCUACGUGAGGCAGCAGUGGGGAAGAUUGCACGAUGGGCGCAAGCCUGAUGCAGCCAUGCCGCGUGUAUGAUGAAGGCCGUCGGGUUUGAAAGUACUUUCAGCGAGGAGGCGUUACUCGCAGAAGAAGCACCUGCUAACUCCGUGGCAGCAGCCGCGGUAAUAC